AUUGAACGCUAGCGGGAUGCCUUACACAUGCAAGUCGAACGGAGUGGCGAACGGGUGAGUAAUGGAUCGGAACGUGCCCAGUAGCGGGGGAUAACUACGCGAAAGCGUCGCUAAUACCGCAUACUAUGAGAGCGGCCGCUAUAGGAUUAGCUAGUUGGUGGGGUAACGGCUCACCAAGGCGACGAUCCGUAGCUGGUUUGAGAGGACGACCAGCCACACUGGGACUGAGACACGGCCCAGACUCCUACGAGAGGCAGCAGUGGGGAAUGUUGGACAAUGGGGGAAACCCUGAUCCAGCCAUCCCGCGUGUGCGAUGAAGGCCUUCGGGUUGUAAAGCACUUUUGGCAGGAAAGCGGUACCUGCAGAAUAAGCACCGGCUAACUACGUGCCAGCCGCCGCGGUAAUAC
rnacentral:rRNA from 1 species